rnacentral:lncRNA from 1 species
GCCACCGCGGCGACUUGGCGGCGGGUGCCAUGCGUCUGGAGCUUCACAUUCUCUGCCCCCCACCCACCGCGCCGGCGCUCCCUUGUCACGCCUCGGGAAGCGCGCACCUGCCAAGCAGGAUGAAUAAUCUGAUAUCAUGUGAAAUGAGGAAAUAAGAAGCUUUCUGCUGACUUCAUUUUGACCCAGGGUCCAAAAGGUGAUGUAAUCCUGUGGCAAGAAGAUUCAAAACUGUGGACUAUCUUGCAAAAAAUACAAGAAGAUAUUGAAAGUUUUCAUGAGUGCCUACCACCUAAUCUCAAACACUAUCAUUCAUAUGUGCCUCAUUGAGCAAAUCUUUAAUGAGGAUCUAUAUGCCAGAUAAUGUAGGCAUUGUUCCUAAGUCAUGCAGAGGGGUUGUGUAAGCAUGGUCAUUUGCAUCAUUAUCCUGCACGUCUGAUACAGCCAAACUCCACGCCACCUGGUUUGCUCAACAGCAAAAGACACGGCCGGGUGCGGUGGCUCACCCCUUUAAUCCCAGCACUUUGGAAGGCCGAGGCGGGCGGAUCAUUUGAGCAAUAUCUUUUGCUUGGGAGCAGAAACAGAAAGUACAUGAUGGACUUCAUUGAAGGAUGGAGAUUUGGAAGACAUGAAUGGAUGAAGAACCAAACGGAGUCUCGCUCUGUUGCCCAGGCUGUAGUUCAGUGGUGCAAUCUCAGCUCACUGCAAGCUCUGCCUCCCGGGUUCAUGCCAUUCUUCUGCCUCAGCCUCCCGAGUAGCUGGGACUACAAGCGCCUGCUACCACGCCUGGCUAAUUUUUUGUAUUUUUUAGUAGAGACGGAGUUUCACCAUGUUAGCCAGGAUGGUCUCGAUCUCCUGACCUUGUGAUCCACCCAUCUCGGCCUCCCAAAGUGCUAGGAUUACAGGCAUGAGCCACCACGCCCAGCCAACUUAUAACUUUUAUAUCAUUAGACACAUGGAAUAUGGGCCUCCGUUUGUACUCUUGCCCUUGGCCCCACAAACGUUAGGGAGAGGCCUGGCUCCUGCAAUGUACUAUUUACCUGUUGUAAAGAAUAGCCCUUCAAAAGUAUUAUUCUAAGUCUGUUUGACAUAAUAGGUCCAAAUUGUAUUACAACAUGGUAAAAAAACAACAAUCCAUUAACAAUCCUCUUUGGAUUUCUAAAAAAGUUUUGGUAGCCUAAACUCUUUCCCCAAUUUUUGAUAUCACUUCAUGUCAUUUUAGAGAGUAAGUUUUCCUGUUUUAUUAAUGUUUAUAUUUAAGCUGAAUUUUCUAAAAGAAUUGUGAGUGUUUUUAUUCUAUUGUGACAUUCAAGGUACGCAGCUGACCCUUGAGUAUAAGUCCCAUCAACUAAGUAAACAUCAAACAUAUCUUCAGUACAUCCCUUUAGAUCUUGACAGUUAUUUAUCACUUUUUCAUAAGUUCCAAAGUUCCAGAUGGUUACUGAUACAUUCAGGCUGACCACUGCUAGAUUUGAGACUUGUCCCACAGAUCUGCACUGUAUCUUCAUACCUUCAUUAAUAGAUCUUUUAUUCUUUUUUUUUUUAAUUUUUUUGGAGACGUGGGUCUCAUUAUGUUGCCCAGGCUGGUCUUGAACUUCUGGCCUCAAGUGAUCCUCCCAACUCAGCCUCCCAAAGUAUUGGAAUUAUAGGUGUGAGCCACUACACCCAGCCUAGAUCUCAAUCAGGUGACACUGAAAAUGUUUGGUCAUAAACCACAGUGAAGGAAGGGGAGGCAGCUGUUAGAUCAUCUGCCUUGACCCACAGUCCUCAUCCAUUUGCACCUUGGCAAGCCCUCUACUACAUCUGAAUCUCGAAAUGGGGGAUAACCUCUUGGGAGAGUCUAUGCUAGUACCCUUCUAGUAGUAGUUUACAAUCUGCCAACAAAUCUUGAAGCCUUAUUUGGUUGAUAUCAAUUUGAGAGGUGGGAGGUUCAGUUUCCAAAGAGUCAGGAAAGAGCAUUCAUCUAGGCUUGAGAAGCCUCCAUUUCCUAACUCAAGAGUUCUGAUUAGGUUGUUGGUUGAGUGACACAAGGCAAUCAUCUCACUUUUCUGUUCCUGAGCUUCUCCUUUUAUAGAAUGUGGGCAGGAGUGUGGAGAGGGAGAAUUUAUUUCAUUUCCUGUUUUCCAAACUUACUAAACUGUGGAAACUUUUUCUUUUGCAGCAUUGGGCAAAACUGAUGUUCUAAGGAACAUUCUUUAGGAAAGGUUAGCCAGAUCCGUGGUUCUCAACAGGCAUGUGGUACACAUUUAAUAAUGUCUGGAGACGUUUUUGGUUGUCACAACUGGGGAUCCAGGGAUGCUGCUAAACAUCCUGCAAUGCCUAGGACAGCCCUCCACAACGGAGAAUUAUCCAACUCAAAAUGCCAAUCAUUCUAAGGGGUUGAAAAACUCUGGACUAUAUGAACUAUCUCAAUUCUCUUUCAACACUAACAUUUAAAUGUGGUGUUUCUUGUUUUUUAAACACACAAAAUUUUAUUUCUGUUUUACACAAAGUCAGCUAUGGGUAUGGAUGAAUCUGCGGACAGUUUUCUUCCAUGUGUUGGCUCCAUAUUUCAGCUGCUUUGAUCUUUUUGACAUCUUAUCAAUGUGUUCUUCUAUGAUUUCCUUGGCAGAGAAAGAGAAAGCAGAGAGAAUCAUGUGCUGGAUCUUAAAUGCUUCUACGUGGAUGUAGUAAAUGUCUCUUCUACUUUUUUUAAAUAAGAAGUGUAUUAAAAUAUAAUCCAUGUAUCAUAUAAUUUACUCAUUUAAGGCAUAAAAUUCGGCUGGGUAUGGUGGCUCACACCUGUAAUCCCAGCACUUUGGGAGGUUGAGGUGGGGUGAAUCUCUUGAGCCCAGGAGUUUGAGACCAGACUGGGCAACAUGGCAAAACCCCAUCUCUACAAAAAAUACAAAAAUUAGCCAGGUGUGGUGGCACGCACCUGUAAUCCCAGCUAUUUGGGAGGUUGAGGUGGGAGUAUUGCUUGAGUUUUGAAGGCAGAGGUUGCAGUGAGCCAAGAUUGUGCCACUGCACUCCAGCCAGGGUGACAGAGUGAGACUGUCUCAAAAAAAAUUUUUCAGCUAAAAUAAAGUGUAAAACUCUGUAGUUUUUAGUGUAUCCACAAAAUGUGUGCAAUCGUCUCUACACUCAAUUUUAGAACAUUUGAAUCACCCCCAGAAGAAACACUGUACCUAUUAACAGCCAUUCCCAAUUUUCCCUCAACACCUCCACCUCAGCCCUAGGCAACCACUAACCUAUUUUCUAUCUCUAUAGGUUUACCUAUACUGGAUAUUACAUAUAAAUGGAAUCAUGUCCUUUGUAACUGUCUUCUUUCACUUUGCAUAAUGUUUUCAAGGUUCAUUCAUGUUGCAUCCUUCUCAAUAUUUCAUUUUUAUUGCUGAAUAAUAUUCCAUUGUAUGAAUAUAACACAUUUUAUUUAUCCAUUCAUCGCUUGAUGGAUAUAUGAGCCAUUUCUACUUUUUAGAUAUUCUGAAUAAUGCUGCUAUGAAUACUUAUAUGCAAGUUUUUACAUGGACGUAUGUCUUCAUUUCUCUUAGGUUAUAUAUCUAAGAAAGGAAUUACUGAAUCAUACGAUAACUUUAUGCUUAGACUUUUGAGAAACUGCCAGACUGCUCUCCAAAAUGACUGUGCCAUUUUACAUUCCCAAAAGUAAUGUAUGAAGUUUCUAAUUUUUCCACACCCUCACCAACACUUAUUAUCUGUGUUUUUGAUUCUUGCCAUCCUAGUGUGUGUGAAGUAGUUUCUCACUGUGAUUUGUAUUUGAAUCUUCUUGAAGGCUAAUGAUUUUGAGCAUCUUUUCAUGUGCUUAUCGUCUCUUCUUUAUAUAGAUGUCUAUUCAGGUCCUUGGCCCAUUUUUAAUUUGGGCUAUUUGUCUUUUCAUUACUGAGUUUUAAGAAUAAUUUUUGUUUAUUCUAGACACACAUCCCAUAUUAGAUAGGUGAUUUGCAACUAUUUCCUCCCAUUCUGUAGGUUUCUUGCUGGUGUCCUUUUAGGAAUAGAAGUUUUACGUUUUGAUGAAGUCAAGUGUGUAUGUUUUCUUUUGUUGCUUGUGUGUUUGAUCUCAUAUCAAAAAACCAUUGCACAAUCCAAGGCCACAAAGAGUUAUGUCUAUGUUUUCUAGAUUUUUAUCAUUUUAGUGCUUACAUUUAGGUCUUUGAUCUUUUUGUGUUAAUUUUUUAUAUUGGGUGUGAGGUAAAAAUCCAACUUCAUUCUUUUGCAUGUGAUAUCCAAUUAUCCAGAACCACUUGUUGAGAAGGCUAGUUCUUCCUCACUGGAUUAUCUUGGCACCCUUGUCAAAAAUAAGUUGACUGUAGAUGUGAAGGUGUAUGAGUUGCUAAAAUACCUCUUCUGUGAUAUUUAUAAUUUAUUUUCUAAAAGGAUAAGUUAUAGGUCACAUCUCAGAUUACAAUGAUUCAAGUCAAAAAGUUCAAAGUAGAAUUUACUUUCAAAAUUGUUUGUUCCCCCAGAGCUAGUUAAUGCCCCCAGAGCUAGUUAAUAAACUCUAUUUGCAGAUAAAAGCAUGCUUUCCCUUCAAAGGUAUUUCACCAAGACGGGAAACACAAAACUAAAUAAGCUGGGAAACUGAGGAUACACAGAGGGUCUCCUUAAUCUCUGGAUAUGUGGUCUAAUGUAUCCUUUUUGUGCUCAUUUUUUCCCUUUUAUCCAGAAAUACAACAUUACCUUUUUAUAAAAUUCCUGGAGAUUGAUCAUAUCUCUAGUGUUUGGGUCUAGAAUGUAUUUUUUGGCCAAAACAUCUCUUUACCCCACUUCCACAUGUGGAAAGAAAGAAAACAUGGUACUCUAAUCUCACAAGUGAGGCAUGGGGUUGUUUCCUGAAAUGAGGCAAGGACUUUGGACAAGAACAUGUUUGGACUUGAGAUGGUUUUUGUAAACCCAAAUGAUAUUAGUUCUAGUCUGUCUUUAUCGCUCACUGUAUUUUGUUUUCAUUCAUACUAAUGAAUAAUAGACUUGAUUGUGUUCCAUCAUUUAUGUCAUUAAUAUUUCCUUUAUGUUUGAGUGCUGUGCAGUUCUCCUUGAAACUUGUAUGGAGAUUGAACUUGAUAGUGAUUUAAAGUAAUUAAUUCAUAUGUCAGUUGUUAGCAAGGUCUAGUAAUUAAAAUCUACUUUAGAGUAAGUUAUUAACUCUCCAAAAUAAAAACACUUUAUCAACUUACCAGUUUUAGCUAUUUAUUCUACUUGACAGAUGAGAUAGGGUAGUUAUUGACUGUACAUAAUCACCUAUGUACUUUCACCACUGAACACUAGGGUCAAAUUGAAGUCUAGGUUAUUAAAGUUCAUAGUUUAAAUCUAGAAUAAACCAGUUCAGGUUGAUGGGAGAAGGAAGAGAGUGUCCUUGGAUCUUGUUAUCUUUGCAAUAUUGUCUCCUUAAAUUUUGCAAAGUCCAUUUUUGCUGUCUUCAAAAUUCUCAAACUUCUAAACUAAAAACACCCUAGACCAAGGAUUUCAUAUUGAGAUCUAAGAUAUCAAAGUGCUAUAUUGUUUAUGAUUUAUUUUAUAAUGCUUUUUAGUAAAACAAACUUUAGAUGCCAUGAUUUCCUUGUGAACAGGCUGGAGGGAAGAAAACAAGUUACACGUAAUGCAUGGGACACAAGUGCAGGCCUUUUAUUUGCAGGCCUAAACUAGUCACAAGUUUCCAUCUUAUGAAAGCAAGUUUUCUUUUAUUCUGCUUUGUUUUUUGUCUUGAUAUCUGGUUACAUUUAUUCAGUUUGAGGGCAUCUUAUAACGGGCCCUUUACUUCCCUCCAUUUGGCUUGUGAUGAACUACUACCAAGGUCAAUCCAGGUCUGACUCUUUCAUGGAGUCAGUGUGGCUGGGGUAGUGUUUCCCAAGCCAAGCUUGUCAUCAGAAUUACCUGGGGUGGUUUGUAAAGAACUUUUCAGGCCUCAUUCCAAACCUACUAAAUUUAGAUCUCUGGUGUGGAGCCUGUAAAUCUGUAUGUUUGAAACCUUCCCAAGGUGAUUCUGAUGUCCAGUCAUAUUUGGGUCAUAGUCCAGAAUGCAGUCAUGCAUUGCUUAAUGACAGGGAUUUGUUCUGAAAAAUGUGUCAUUAGGUAAUUUCUUCAUUGUAGAACCAUCAUAGAGUGUGAUUACACAAACCUAGAUGGUAUAGCCUACUACACACCUAGGCUAUGUGGUAUAGCCUAUUGCUCCCAGGCUACAAACCUGUACAGUAUGUUGCUGUACUGAACACUGUAAGUAAUUGUAAUACAAUGGUAAGUAUGUGUGUAUCUAAAUAUAUCUUAACAUAGAAAAGGUGCAGUAAAAAUACAGUAUUCAAAUCUCAUGAAACCACCAUCAUAUAAGAGGUCCGUAGUUGAACUGAAAUGUUGUUGUGUUGCCCAUGAUUGUACUUGGAUUUCAGGACUCUGCAGAUGCUUGGAGGUCUUAUGGGUUUGGCCAUGGGGUAUUGCCUCUGAGAAACUGCCAUCUGCUUGCCAGAGAUUCUGAAAAGACCAGAGUUGCCUAUUUGCAGUCUGUUCUUCAAGACUAUCUACUAUGUUGGCAAAAAGGCCUAGGUUUCUUCUCUGUCCAUUCUCAAUCCCUCAAUCUGUCCUUGUGACUUACUUGCUCCUUCAAGCUGCCCAGUAGUGGCGCUGGUGAAAAUAAAAUAGACUUUGGUCCUACAGACCUGUCAUGGACUCUCAGCUCAGCCUCUUCUAUGUGUGCCAUUUGCCUCAUCUGUAAAUGUAGUUAAUAUUGUCCUCUCAAAGAUGUUAGGAAAACCAGAAGAAUGUAUUUAUGUAACACCUAGAACAAGUAUACCCUGCAUUAGGCAUUAUUUGUUUGGUUUUACCUGUCCAUCUCAAUGAACAUGCUGGGUUAAUGAAGUGUGUUCAUCAAUUUUCCCUGAUCGUAGCCUUUUAGAUUGCUCUGGGCAGUGUUUCUCAAAGUAGGAGACACAGACCACCUACCUGUGAUUGACAGGAGGACAGAAAUCUGCUCUAAUGCACUCUAACCUUCUGCACUUUUCACUUUUUAUUGAAAUAUACAUAUAGAAAGGUGUAUUUAUUGUAAGUGAACAGCUCAGUGGCUUUUCCUAAACUGAACACACCCAUGUAACCAGCACCCAGAUCAAGAAACAGAACAUUA